UACGUAGGGGGCAAGCGUUGUCCGGAUUUAUUGGGCGUAAAGAGCUCGUAGGUGGUUCGGUAAGUCGGAUGUGAAAUCUCCAGGCUCAACCUGGAGGGGUCAUUCGAUACUGCCGUGACUAGAGUUCGGUAGGGGAGUGUGGAAUUCCGUGGUGGAGCGGUGAAAUGCGCAGAUAUCAGGAGGACACCCGUAGCGAAGGCGGCACUCUGGGCCGAUACUGACGCUGAGACGCGAAAGCGUGGGGAGCGAACAGG
rnacentral:rRNA from 1 species